rnacentral:rRNA from 1 species
GACGAACGCUGGCGGCGUGCUUAACACAUGCAAGUCGAACGGAAAGGCCCUGCUUUUGUGGGGUGCUCGAGUGGCGAACGGGUGAGUAACACGUGAGUAACCUGCCCUUGACUUUGGGAUAACUUCAGGAAACUGGGGCUAAUACCGGAUAGGAGCUCCUGCUGCAUGGUGGGGGUUGGAAAGUUUCGGCGGUUGGGGAUGGACUCGCGGCUUAUCAGCUUGUUGGUGGGGUAGUGGCUUACCAAGGCUUUGACGGGUAGCCGGCCUGAGAGGGUGACCGGCCACAUUGGGACUGAGAUACGGCCCAGACUCCUACGGGAGGCAGCAGUGGGGAAUAUUGCACAAUGGGCGGAAGCCUGAUGCAGCAACGCCGCGUGCGGGAUGACGGCCUUCGGGUUGUAAACCGCUUUCGCCUGUGACGAAGCGUGAGUGACGGUAAUGGGUAAAGAGGCACCCGCUAACUACGUG